CAUCUAAGUACCCUGAGGAAAAGAAAUCAACCGAGAUUCCCUUAGUAGUGGCGAGCGAACGGGGACCAGCCCUUAAGCUGGUUUGAGAUUAGUGGAACGCUCUGGAAAGUGCGGCCAUAGUGGGUGAUAGCCCCGUACACGAAAAUCUCUUGCCAGUGAAAUCGAGUAGGACGGAGCACGAGAAACUUUGUCUGAACAUGGGGGGACCAU
rnacentral:rRNA from 1 species